rnacentral:rRNA from 1 species
CCUACGGGUGGCAGCAGUGAGGAAUAUUGGUCAAUGGGCGCGAGCCUGACCCAGCAACGCCGCGUGAAGGAAGACGGCUUUCGGGUUGUAAACUUCUUUUAAGAGGGAAGAGCAGAAGACGGUACCUCUUGAAUAAGCCACGGCUAACUACGUGCCAGCAGCCGCGGUAAUACGGAGGUGGCAAGCGUUGUCCGGAUUUACUGGGUUUAAAGGGCGUGUAGCCGGGCUGACAAGUCAGAUGUGAAAUUCCGGGGCUCAACCCCGGACCUGCAUUUGAAACUGUUGGUCUUGAGUAUCGGAGAGGCAGGCGGAAUUCCUGGUGUAGCGGUGAAAUGCGUAGAUAUUAGGAGGAACACCAGUGGCGAAGGCGGCCUGCUGGACGACAACUGACGGUGAGGCGCGAAAGCGUGGGGAGCAAACAGGAUUAGAUACCCCAGUAGUC